GCUCAGAUUGAACGCUGGCGGCAGGCCUAACACAUGCAAGUCGAGCGGGGUUUUCGGACCUAGCGGCGGACGGGUGAGUAAUGCGUAGGAAGCUGCCCGAUAGAGGGGGAUACCAGUUGGAAACGACUGUUAAUACCGCAUAAUGUCUACGGACCAAAGUGUGGGACCUUCGGGCCACAUGCUAUCGGAUGCGCCUACGUGGGAUUAGCUAGUUGGUGAGGUAAUGGCUCACCAAGGCGACGAUCUCUAGCUGGUUUGAGAGGAUGAUCAGCCACACUGGAACUGAGACACGGUCCAGACUCCUACGGGAGGCAGCAGUGGGGAAUAUUGGACAAUGGGCGCAAGCCUGAUCCAGCCAUGCCGCGUGUGUGAAGAAGGCCUUCGGGUUGUAAAGCACUUUCAGCGAGGAGGAAGGGUGGUGUGUUAAUAGCACAUC
rnacentral:rRNA from 1 species